rnacentral:lncRNA from 1 species
CAUUUAAGCACCUUUGCAGUUCCUUGCGCCCUCUGCGAUAAUGUAAAUCAUUUAAGAGGGGAUGGGAUCCCAGACUAUGGAAAGAGACUGUGGCUACAAUAAAGCCCAUUAACAGUCCCAAGUAUCCUCUGCAGUCAUGCAAAGGCAUUUAUGUGGGAAAGAUAUCUUAGGGUUAAAAGGGGGGGAAAGGGAUCCUAGGCUAAAAAAAGAAAAAAUGGGGAUUGUACCCACACUUAAGCACAACGACAGUCCCUUGUAUCUCCUUUGGUAAUGUAAAGGGAAUUAGGUGGGAAUGGGACCCUAGACUAACAGAAGGGACUAUAAUUGCAUUUAAGCAUACUUACCAGUCCCUUGUACACUCUGGGGUAAUGAAAAUAGAGUAGGAGGGAGGGGAACCUAGACUAAAAGAAGGGAAAUCAGAGCAAUUAAGCCCAUUAAAAAAGUCCUAUGUAAGCCCUGAAGUAAUACAAGGCAGUUAGGUGGGAUCCAGAUCCUGGUUACCAUAAAGGACUGUAGCUCUAUUUAAGUACAUUAACAGUCCCUAGUACCCUCCCCUGCAAUGCAAAUCAAAAAAGGCAUGGAUCCUAGAAUAACAGGAGGGACUGUAGCAGCAAUACAACUCAUUAACAGUCCCAAGUGUCCUCUGCACUCAUGCAAAGGAAGUUGAAUGGGGAUGGGAUCCUAGGUUAACAAUAGCUGCUUUUAAGCCCAUUACCAGUCACUUGUACAGUUGGUGAUAAUGCAAAGGGAGUUAGGUGGAAUGGGAUCCUAGGUUACAAAAAGAGGGGGACUAUGUGCAUUUAGCACAUUACCAUUCCCUUGAAACCUCUACGGUAAUGUAAUUCUUUAUGAGGGGAUAGAAUCCUAGACUAACGAAAGGGACAGCAGUGCAAUUAAGACCAUUAACAAGUCCCAUGCAGGCUCUGCAGCAAUGAAAAGGGAGAUAGGUGAGAAUGGGAUCCUAGGUUAUCAUAAGAGACUGUAGCUGUAUUUCAGCCCAUUAAGAGUCCCAAGUAUCCUUUGAAGCCAUGCAAAGGGCGUUAGUUGGGGCAUGAGAUUCUAGAUUAAUGUAAGAGAUUGUAGCUGCAUUUUAGCACAUUAACAGUCCAUUGUACCCCCCUUGGUAAUGCAAAUUGAGUAGGAGAGCUUGGGAAUCUAGACUAGUAGAAGGGACAGAGAAGAGCAAUGAAGCCCAUUAACAAGUCCCAUAUAGGCUCUGCAUCAAUGAGAAGAGUUAGGUGAGAAUGGGAUUCUAGCUUAACAUAAAGGACUGUAGCUGCAUUUAAGCACAUUGGUAGUCCAUUGUACAGUCUGUGGUUAUCAAAUCGUAUAAAAGAGGAUGGGAAUCUACACUAACAGAAGGUAACUGCAGUAAAGUUCACUAAUAGUCCCACAUAGGCUCUGCAGUUAUGAAAAGGGAGUUAGGUAGAAAUAGGAUGCUAGGUUAACACAAGAGCUGGAGCUCCACUUAAGCACAUAAAUAGUGCAUUACAGUCUCUUUAGUAAUGCAGAUAGAGUAGGAAGGCACGAGAAUCUAAACAAAUAAAAGGGACUAUAGCUCUAAUUAAGCCCA